rnacentral:rRNA from 1 species
UUAAGUGACGAUAGCCUAGGAGAUACACCUGUACCCAUGCCGAACACAGAAGUUAAGCCCUAGAACGCCGGAAGUAGUUGGGGGUUGCCCCCUGUGAGAUAGGGAAGUCGAUUAGC